AUUGAACGCUGGCGGCAGGCCUAACACAUGCAAGUCGAACGAGUGGCGGACGGGUGAGUAAUGUCUGGGAAACUGCCUGAUGGAGGGGGCUAACUACUGGAAACGGUAGCUAAUACCGCAUACCAUCAGAUGUGCCCAGAUGGGAUUAGCUUGUUGGUGGGGUAACGGCUCACCAAGGCGACGAUGCCUAGCUGGUCUGAGAGGAUGACCGGCCACACUGGAACUGAGACACGGCCCAGACUCCUACGGGAGGCAGCAGUGGGGAAUAUGUCACAAUGGGCGCAAGCCUGAUGCAGCCAUGCCGCGUGAAUGAAGAAGGCCUUCGGGUUGUAAAGUACUUUCAGUGGGGAAGCGUUACCCACAGAAGAAGCCCCGGCUAACUCCGUGCCAGCAGCCGCGGUAAUUC
rnacentral:rRNA from 1 species